rnacentral:rRNA from 1 species
GAAGGUGGCCUGUGAGGGUUGCUGGAGGUAUCAGAAGUGCGAAUGCUGACAUAAGUAACGAUAAAGCGGGUGAAAAGCCCGCUCGCCGGAAGACCAAGGGUUCCUGUCCAACGUUAAUCGGGGCAGGGUGAGUCGACCCCUAAGGCGAGGCCGAAAGGCGUAGUCGAUGGGAAACAGGUUAAUAUUCCUGUACUUGGUGUUACUGCGAAGGGGGGACGGAGAAGGCUAUGUUGGCCGGGCGACGGUUGUCCCGGUUUAAGCGUGUAGGCUGGUUUUCCAGGCAAAUCCGGUUCACUUUAAAACUGAGGCGUGAUGACGAGGCACUACGGUGCUGAAGCAACAAAUGCCCUGCUUCCAGGAAAAGCCUCUAAGCAUCAGGUAACAUCAAAUCGUACCCCAAACCGACACAGGUGGUCAGGUAGAGAAUACCAAGGCGCUUGAGAGAACUCGGGUGAAGGAACUAGGCAAAAUGGUGCCGUAACUUCGGGAGAAGGCACGCUGACACGUAGGUGAAGUGAUUUACUCAUGGAGCUGAAGUCAGUCGAAGAUACCAGCUGGCUGCAACUGUUUAUUAAAAACACAGCACUGUGCAAACACGAAAGUGGACGUAUACGGUGUGACGCCUGCCCGGUGCCGGAAGGUUAAUUGAUGGGGUCAGCGCAAGCGAAGCUCCUGAUCGAAGCCCCGGUAAACGGCGGCCGUAACUAUAACGGUCCUAAGGUAGCGAAAUUCCUUGUCGGGUAAGUUCCGACCUGCACGAAUGGCGUAAUGAUGGCCAGGCUGUCUCCACCCGAGACUCAGUGAAAUUGAACUCGCUGUGAAGAUGCAGUGUACCCGCGGCAAGACGGAAAGACCCCGUGAACCUUUACUAUAGCUUGACACUGAACAUUGAGCCUUGAUGUGUAGGAUAGGUGGGAGGCUUUGAAGUGUGGACGCCAGUCUGCAUGGAGCCGACCUUGAAAUACCACCCUUUAAUGUUUGAUGUUCUAACGUGGACCCGUGAUCCGGGUUGCGGACAGUGUCUGGUGGGUAGUUUGACUGGGGCGGUCUCCUCCUAAAGAGUAACGGAGGAGCACGAAGGUUGGCUAAUCCUGGUCGGACAUCAGGAGGUUAGUGCAAUGGCAUAAGCCAGCUUGACUGCGAGCGUGACGGCGCGAGCAGGUGCGAAAGCAGGUCAUAGUGAUCCGGUGGUUCUGAAUGGAAGGGCCAUCGCUCAACGGAUAAAAGGUACUCCGGGGAUAACAGGCUGAUACCGCCCAAGAGUUCAUAUCGACGGCGGUGUUUGGCACCUCGAUGUCGGCUCAUCACAUCCUGGGGCUGAAGUAGGUCCCAAGGGUAUGGCUGUUCGCCAUUUAAAGUGGUACGCGAGCUGGGUUUAGAACGUCGUGAGACAGUUCGGUCCCUAUCUGCCGUGGGCGCUGGAGAACUGAGGGGGGCUGCUCCUAGUACGAGAGGACCGGAGUGGACGCAUCACUGGUGUUCGGGUUGUCAUGCCAAUGGCACUGCCCGGUAGCUAAAUGCGGAAGAGAUAAGUGCUGAAAGCAUCUAAGCACGAAACUUGCCCCGAGAUGAGUUCUCCCUGAGACUUAGAGUCUCCUGAAGGAACGUUGAAGACGACGACGUUGAUAGGCCGGGUGUGUAAGCGCAGCGAUGCGUUGAGCUAACCGGUACUAAUGAACCGUGAGGCUUAACCUUACAACGCCGAAG